UCGCUCGGUCAGCGACGGAUAAGUAACUCAAGUCCGAGUAUUGUUGUUGCGAGAAUGCGGGAGUGUAUUGGUGCGGGAGUAUUUUGGUCCAAGUGCCUAACGAAUUCGAAAAUGAAAACCCAGCAGUAGCUGCACGCCUCUGGUUUCCCCACUUUCACACAAAGGGGAAACCUUUGAGCAGGGCACUCACGCGCCUUCAAAUGCACAAAAGCCAAUGACACGGUGCCCUGGACCGUCCGGCGUUUGGAGCGCCUCACUAAUGAUCUUUCUUACGCACACUUAUGCAUACAAACGCAAAGUUGUACCUCUAUCUAUUCCCCCACCACCACACUUCGCCGCCGCCGCCGCAUUUUCUUGUAUUUGUUUAACAAAGAGCGAUGACUGUCCCGGUGCUCGGAGGGACUAAUUCUAGUCCUCUCUCGGGCUGCUGCAGCCCCACUCCGAUAAUAUCCAGUAUCCACCAGGUUCAUCGCUGGGCUCCAGCCUUAGUCUUUUUGCGGCUCCAUAACCAGGCAUGAGAGAAGAAAAAACACUGAAGAAUAUUAUGACACCGAGGGCACUGAAGAGUAAAGCAACUUUUUCAGGACCGCCAGCAAGUAAUCUCUACUCCCAACGUGGGGCUUGAACUCAGGACCCGAAGAUCAAGCAUCGCAUGCUCUACACGCUGAGCCAGCCCCGCGCCCCCAAAAUGAUAUAUGCCCGCCUGGGUCGGGACUGUCUCCAGAACUGGAAAGCCCAUGGUGAUAAUGUUGGAUCUGGAAGAGCAAGGACGAUGGAGCCUCAGUAGUUGGCUUCAGGGCAGCCAUUUCUGAGUAAAAGGUCUUUCAGCACCCAUCACAUACAGCCUUCAGAUUACCCACUCCCACAAAACAUUACAUAAAUCAAUUCUAGUUGCUGAGUGAUGACAGUAUGCCGUAGAGGGGGAAGCAGGCGAAGUGAUGGGGACACUGCAGACCAGUCCCCCUUAGCAGUCGGUAGUGGAGAUUGGAGGAAGUGGGGUGAUCUGGUAGAGUAAAGAAGAGAAAGCUGCCAAAAGAGAAAGAGGAGAAAAUUACCAAAGCAGAAUUCUUGGGAGGAAAGGUGGGGAUAACAGCAGAGCACAGGGAAGGCUGGCUUGGGCAUUUAUUUUAGUAGGAGAGAAGGCAGAAAACAUGGGACAGAGGAUACACAGGUUUAUUGAACUCCUACAAUAUCCCAGGACUGCCCAAAUGAGUUCUAUGAUCUUAAUUCAUUUAAUUCUCCCCCAAACUCUAUGAGACAGGUAUUGUUAUCAUCCUCGUCUUACAGAAGAAGAAAUUCAGCCACUGGGUGUAUAAGUUGCCCCCAGUGCCCAUAACUAGCAAGUGGCAGAGUUGAGAUUUGAACCUGAGCUAUUGUAUUGACUCCACACUUUGAGCUCUUAACACCAGUAGUAAAGCCCUGCACACGGGGAAGAUGGUAGAUUUGAUGGUGGGAAGAACGGCAGAGAAUGAAUAAUUAUGCUUCCCAAGAAAUUUGCUUCACGAAAGACCUCCAAUAAACAAAAAAUAAUACUUCUUACAUGAAAUCCCCAAAUAUAGUGCCUCUCGCUUAGCAUUGGAAGAAUCUAGGAUGUGUUCUUUUUUUUUUUUUAAUUUUUUAUUAUGUGAGUCACCAUACAGUACAUCCUU